rnacentral:rRNA from 1 species
UACAGAGGUCUCAAGCGUUGUUCGGAUUCAUUGGGCGUAAAGGGUGCGUAGACGGCAUGAUAAGUUAUUGGCGGGAAAUCGAGGCUCAACCUCGUGGAAACUGAUAAUACUGUUUUGCUUGAGUACAGGAGAGGUUAACGGAACUCCAUGUGGAGCGGUAAAAUGUGUAGAUAUAUGGAAGAACAUCGAUGGCGAAGGCAGCCUUCUGGGCCUUUACUGACGCUGAGGCUCGAAAGCGUGGGGAGCGAACAGG